AGAUUUUAUUAUUUUCUGUAUUUUCCACAUGUUUUAUAAAGAACACAUGUUACAUUUCUAAUUAGGAAAAAAUUGCUGUUACCUCAAAAAAUCACUGGCAUCCCUUGAAACACAGGUAUGCAGGCUUGAAACUGUCUGUGUUGGAUAUUUACAACAGGACUCUUUUUCCUCUCUAUAUCUGCCUCUUGCUGGGCCAGCCUUGUGUGGAAGGAUGGGAAAGAGUCAUUAUUAUUACUUUAUAGAGAACCCAGGAGUUCCAUAUAGGGCAAAGGAAUGAAAAUGAAUAAGAGAAAAUACUUCAGAAGAGUAUGAGUCAGGACUGGUCACUGGCCAUGUGGCCACUGGCCAAGUCAGUUCAUUUUAAAAAUACAUCUACCCUAAUUCCCUGAAUUGUUUCGAUGCCACCUUAUUGCAUUAAACUCCUAUCAGAGCUUAACUUGAGAUAAUAACUUCUUAUGUCUGAGUAAAGAAUGAUAAGAUAUGGGUAGAAUAAGGGUCUGGCAAAUACUCCAUACUUUAGUAUGAUUUAGGACAAAAGUGGUUGGAUUGAAAAUAUUGGAGAGAAAAGGAGUUUUGCUCAUGGGAAGGGAAAGGCAGGGCUUUUUAGCAUAUGGUGCUCUUUGUUAUGUAGGAGCCUAUCUGGAGUUGAGCUGUGGGAGAGGAUCUUUCACCUACAUGAAUAAUCUAUGAUUCUGGGUAGCUGGGCAGAGGGUGGUAUGAAGUAGCAAUUAGGAUCUUAGGUUGUAGGUUCAGACAGACCUGGGUUCACAUUCUGGAUCAGUGACUGAAUUAUUUGGAUAGUUUUUUUAAUACCUCUAAGCUUCACUGUCUUUACUUCUAUCAUGGGAAAAAUACCCACUCCAUAGAAUAAAGUAGAGUAAGUACCUGCUUCACACGGUAAGAUAGAGUAAAUAAGGUAAUGUCUGGCACAUCGCAGCAUUCAAUAAAUGCUAGUGAUGUUGAUAAUGACAUCAUUAAUGGGGAUUGGUAGAGUCAUUCCAAAGGAAGGGAAACAUACCAAACACUGGUGGGGUGAUGGAGGGAAAACAAUUUUCUUCUUUCUCUUCUGGCAGUUGGAAGCUUCUUAUGUUAACUGAAGAUACAUGAAGAGGAGAAAGUCAAGUUGACAUUGGCCUUUCAUGCUUGCUGAUGGUAUAAAAACUUCCCAGCCACCAGAGCCCAAAGGCUGGAGGUAAACUGCAUUGCUCCAAAGAACAAUGUAAAUCUCUGUGUUCUUCAAGC
rnacentral:lncRNA from 1 species